rnacentral:rRNA from 1 species
UACAGGGGGUGCAAACGUUGCUCGGAAUCAUUGGGCGUAAAGCGCACGUAGGCGGUUCGUUAUGUCGGAUGUGAAAGCCCUUGGCUUAACCGAGGAAGUGCAUCCGAAACUGGCGAGCUAGAGUACGAAAGAGGAUCGCGGAAUUCCCGGUGUAGAGGUGAAAUUCGUAGAUAUCGGGAGGAACACCGGUGGCGAAGGCGGGUCUCUGGGCAAUUCCUGACGCUGAGGCGCGAAAGCGUGGGGAGCAAACGGG